rnacentral:rRNA from 1 species
UACGUAGGUGGCAAGCGUUGUCCGGAAUUACUGGGUGUAAAGGGCGUGUAGGCGGGGAUGUAAGUCAGAUGUGAAAUAUUAGGGCUUAACCCUAGAACUGCAUCUGAAACUAUGUUUCUUGAGUGCUGGAGAGGAAAGCGGAAUUCCUAGUGUAGCGGUGAAAUGCGUAGAUAUUAGGAGGAACACCAGUGGCGAAGGCGGCUUUCUGGACAGUAACUGACGCUGAGGCGCGAAAGCGUGGGGAGCAAACAGG